GACGAACGCUGGCGGCGUGCUUAACACAUGCAAGUCGAACGGAAAGGCCCUGCUUUUGUGGGGUGCUCGAGUGGCGAACGGGUGAGUAACACGUGAGUAACCUGCCCUUGACUUUGGGAUAACUUCAGGAAACUGGGGCUAAUACCGGAUAGGAGCUCCUGCUGCAUGGUGGGGGUUGGAAAGUUUCGGCGGUUGGGGAUGGACUCGCGGCUUAUCAGCUUGUUGGCGGGGUAGUGGCUUACCAAGGCUUUGACGGGUAGCCGGCCUGAGAGGGUGACCGGCCACAUUGGGACUGAGAUACGGCCCAGACUCCUACGGGAGGCAGCAGUGGGGAAUAUUGCACAAUGGGCGGAAGCCUGAUGCAGCAACGCCGCGUGCGGGAUGACGGCCUUCGGGUUGUAAACCGCUUUCGCCUGUGACGAAGCGUGAGUGAUGGUAAUGGGUAAAGAAGCACCGGCUAACUACGUG
rnacentral:rRNA from 1 species